GGCGGCUGUAACUGUCGUGACCAGAGCUAGAGGAAUGGAGGUGGCUGGUUCAGUGGACUCUUAUCUCGUAGGAGAAGACAUUGGGAAGGUGUGUGACAUGGAAGAGCCUUUGGAAAUACCGAUAACGAAUGAUCUCACAAUGGUCUUAGGUUCCAUUUCACAGGUAACCAAUUCAAUAGUUGAAUAUUAAUAAAUAGAUACACGUAUGUGUUUAUUCUGUCGAUACUUCUCAUUCCUCUGUGACAAUUGGCAGUCUAAAGCAUUAGGAGUAGUUGUUGAUUCACUGAGCCUUCCAAAGUCUACGACAAUGUUAAACAGGCAACAGCAUUUGGCAUGAGAAGUGUGGUUUAUGUGCCGAAAAUUAAAUUAGAUACAGUAUCAGCAUUAUCUGCAUUAUGUGACAAAGCCAGCAUCGUGAGCACAGGAUGAGAUGGUUGUCUCAUUGCACCGACUUUGUCCAUUGGAUCGAUACUUCUCCAACAAGCUGCAAUUUCAGCUUCCUUCCACUACAACAAUGUAGAAAUUGUGGAAUCAAGAGCAUCUGCAACGCUGUUUGCCCUUGAAUAUGUAACAUCAGAAGCCCAGUUAUCCUACACAUGAAGAUCAUAUGCUACAGUUGUAUUUGAGGUACAGGAUUUUCCAUCAUCAGAUGCAACCCAAAUUGCCAACAACCUGUCUAACCUUGGCCAAAUCUACAACAGAGAAGAUAUUUCAACCGAUGUUCUAGCAAGGGGCCAAGUUCUGGGAGAUGGAGUUCGAGUGCUUAGCACAACAGUUCAUUUUUCUCGUCUCGGAGAGGUUUACUCUCUGAAACAUGACAUCACAGAUGUGCAAUGUCUCAUGCCAG